AGUGAACGCUGGCGGUAGGCCUAACACGUGCAAGUCGAACGGCAGCACAGUAAGAGCUUGCUCUUACGGGUGGCGAGUGGCGGACGGGUGAGGAAUACAUCGGAAUCUACUUUUUCGUGGGGGAUAACGUAGGGAAACUUACGCUAAUACCGCAUACGACCUACGGGUGAAAGCAGGGGAUCUUCGGACCUUGCGCGAUUGAAUGAGCCGAUGUCGGAUUAGCUAGUUGGCGGGGUAAAGGCCCACCAAGGCGACGAUCCGUAGCUGGUCUGAGAGGAUGAUCAGCCACACUGGAACUGAGACACGGCCCAGACUCCUACGGGAGGCAGCAGUGGGGAAUAUUGGACAAUGGGCGUAAGCCUGAUCCAGCCAUACCGCGUGGGUGAAGAAGGCCUUCGGGUUGUAAAGCCCUUUUGUUGGGAAAGAAAAGCAGCAGGUUAAUACCCCGCUGUUCUGACGGUACCCAAAGAAUAAGCACCGGCUAACUUCGUG
rnacentral:rRNA from 1 species